rnacentral:lncRNA from 1 species
UUAAAUUAAAGUUCAAAAAAUUGAAGCACUGCAAUGUAAAUGGAAUCAAUAGGGGACAAUACUAGAAGCGCUCUUGCAAAGAAAAAACGGUGUGAAGGAAAGAAGAAAAAAAAGAAGCUAACUCGCAAGAGGAAUCGAACUUCAAUUGAAUGCAAUGGUAUCUAUAAACUUAUAGUACAUGUUUUACAUUCUCAUAGCAUUAUAGUGUUGCAAGUGCACUUAAACAGUAUGUUCUUAAAAAAAUUUGUUGAGAAACUAUUUACACAUGAAACAUGAAUUGCUUUUUGUUUUUCACAUGAGACAGGUUAAACGUAAAUUGGUUUUUGUUUUAAAUAGAUUGAAGAUCGUCUUUACGAUCUUUUGUUAAUAACCUCAAUUCUCAUCUAAGGCGAGUUUGUUUUCGUAUUUUAUGUUUAAUCAAUUUUGUUUUUUAUUUAUAUUACUAAUAUUUUUCGUUAGUAAAUUUGACUAACUUUUCCUAAUAAUAAUUUGUGAAUUUUAAGUUAGAUCACAACAAAUAUUAUAUACUGAUACACAAUAUUUUUUUAUAACUAUUUUUUUAUAACUAUUUUUAUAUAAAUAAAAUGUAAUUCUUUUUUAAGAAAGAAAAAUUUAGAUUAGGGGAUGCACAUCCCAUACAAGAUGUGAGCACAAUAUUGUGUCAACUAUAAUUGGUAAAUUGUAAUAUUUUUUAAUUAUACCAACUCUUUCUACUAUACUAUCAUCUUACAUUAACAAAAACCUAUUAUCUGAAAAUGAUAGUUCUAGUCUGUCCAUAACACAUAUAUCUAUUUUAGUUGUUAAUUCAUUUAUAAGAUAAUUGUAAUACUUGUUAUCAUAUAUCUAGAAAACGAUUCAAGAGUCGUACAUAAUAAAUAAAUCGAGGUGGUUUAAAACAUCCAAAAAAUACAUGUUUAAUAAAAAAUAAAAAAAAAGAUUCAACAUGAAAUUCUCAUUGUAACAGGACAAUAGUAAUAGUUUACAAGCAUUCCAAGAAGUAUUCAAUACAACAAAGUAACAAAGCAACAUUCCAAACAAAAAAAAUAAAAUAUUUCAAAAACUGUAACACAAUUUUUUUGUUUAGAACAAAAUCAAAUCUAAUUGAACAUUUAUGAUGAUGAUGAUUAUUAAUUGAAUGAGAUUUUUUUGAUUUGUAGACGGAGUGGUAGACAUUGAUUAAAAUUAAUACAUAAUGUAAAAUUUUAAAUUCAAAUCUAUGUCUAAUUUAAUUAUAUCAAUAUAUGUUAUUUGAGUUAAAUCUUAAUUUAGUGAGUUUUUAUUAAACUAGUUUGUAAUUAUAUUUCAAAUUGUUAUUUCACUAACACGACACGAGCGAGUGUGAAUGUAUACAUACAUAUGAUGAAUUGAUUUUAUAUUUGAAUAUGCAAGGAGGAAUUAACGGAUUAUUUUUGCAACAAACUUUUCAUGUCAAUGUAUUAAAUGCAAUGUUUAUGAGAAAUUAAGCACGUUAAUUUGUUUCUAUUUUGAUUCAUUUAGCUAUAAAAAAUUGUAGGAAUAUAUUGUAAUCAAUAAUCAUGAUGAGAAAUUUGAUUAUGGCAUCAAUAUGUUGAUGAAAAGACAUUUUGUAAAAUUGCUGGAGUGUUGCAGCUACUCCAACUAGUGUCACUUUUAUAUUGCACUUCAUUGUCUAAUUAAAUUAAUUUUUUUAAAUAUUAAUUUCAUAUUUAUUUCUUUUAAUAUCUUUUUAUAAAAUUAAUUUUUUUUAAAGUUUUUCGAAUAAAUAAAUGUCAAAAACAAUCUCAAAAUGGUUUGGAAAAAUGACAUUCAGUUCAAGUAUUAAUCAUUGACCACCAAACUAAAGUGAUUGUUAUAAAAAAUAUGGGAGGAUACAAUCUAUAUUACAUUAGUUGAAUUUUAUUAAGGUUAAUAGAAAAAUAUAAUAUUUGUCAAAAACAAUAGAAGGUAUAAUCGUGUGUGUGUGUAUAUAUGUAAUAUUAAGUUAUUGAUUUAUAAGAUGUAGUUAAUAUAAAUAAGAUUGAACUUGGAUAAUUCAAAUUCAAAUUUCUAAAAUUUAUUUAUAUAAUUAGUUAAAAUUAAAUUAUUGGAUCGUCGAAAUUUAAACUUUCAAGUCAUAGUGAUUCUAGUUAAUUAAGAUUUAACUGUUGGAUCGAGAAAAUUUAAAUUUCUAAGUCAUAGUUAGUCUAAAUAAUUAAGAUUGAAUUGUUGAAUCAUCAAAAUUUAAAUUUAUAUGACAUAUUUAGUCUAAUUAGUUAAGAUUUAAGGGUUGGAUUAUUAAAAUUUAAAUUUAUAAGUCAUUGACAUUCUAAUUAAUUAAGAUCAUCAAAAGUUAAAUUUCUAGGUCAUAGUGAGUCUAAUUAGUCAAUAUUCAAUCAUCAGAUCAUAGUGAGUCUAAUUAGUCAAAAUUAGAACCUAUCAUUGGAUCACUUAAAUUGAAUUUCUAAGUCAUAUUUAGUUCACUUAUUUAAGAUUGGACGGCUGGAUCUUUAAAAUUAAAUUUUAAAUCAUAGUUAGUCUAAUUAGUUAAGAAUAAACGUCGAUUAAUUAAAAUUAUAAUUUCUUAGUCAUAUUUAGUUUAAUUAGAUUUCGGGUUUAGGGCGUCGAAAUUAGAAUUUCUAAGUAACAGUUAAUCUAAUUAGUUAAAAUUGGACUAUUUGAUAUCAAAAUUAUAAUAUAUAAGUCAUAUUUAAUUUAAUUAAUUAAGAUUGAACGGUUGGAUAAUCGAAAUUAGAAUUUAUUAAUUAUAAUUAAUCUAAUUAGUUAAGAUUAGACCGCUCAAUCGUCAAAAUUAUAAUUUAUAUAUCAUAUUUAAUUUAAUUAGUUAACAUUGAAACACUAAAUCAUCAAUUAGAAUUUACAAAUAAUAAUUAGUAUAAUUAGUUAACUAUUCACAAUUUAGCUUAGGGGUCUUGAGUUUGAUGACCCUUGGGUUCACUGUUGAUUAAAAUAAAUUCUCUAACAAAUACAAAAAAUUAGUUGAAAAUAAAAAUAAUAAAGUAAAUAAUUUAGUAAAUAAAUACAAAAUAUUUUAAAGGAAACCAAAUUUACACAAACUAAUUACUCGAAAUUAUUAAAAAAUAAUUUAAAAAACUAUUAAAAAUUAGGUUUGAUAUACAAAUAAUUUUAAAAAAUUGUUAAUAAAUUGAAAAAUAGGACAGAUAUGCAAUUACUAAAAAAAUUUAUCUAUUAUUAUUGUAGACCACCAAUUAAUAUUAAAAAUAAUUACUAUGCAGUGCCUUUCUUACUAUUGGCUAAAACAAUUAACUUAACUUCACCAAAAAAGUAAAAUUAAAGAAUGUACCACAGAAGUCGGUACAAUGUUGAUGUUAUAACACAUUUUUGAUAAAGUUUCAUUCCUCUUUAAGCCAAUGGCGAAUCACAUACAAAAGAAAACCUAAACAAAUUCCUGCAGACCCCAAAAUAACAAUGAUUCUGACCCAUAAAGAGGAUACGAAAGCAUUUAGCAUAAAACCAUUCCAUAGCCAAUACCACAAUAUAGAGCAUAUGGACCCGACAAAUGCUCCAACGAUCACUUGGCUCACUGUAUGAAGUUUUUGUGACACCCGUAGGUAUGACUGAAAACAUAGAAUAAGGAUGAGAAACUGACACUAAACAUUAGACAUCAAGAGAUUGAAAAAUUCAUUCCAUGGCACAAGGAACAAGCUACACGCUCUAGAUAAUAAAUUAUUAUUCGGCUUAAAUAUUUUUAAUUUCUAUGUUGUUAUAGAUUAUAGAUUAAAAUGUAAUUAAUAUUCUCCUUGUAUGAGAUCAAAAGUUAGGUAGUAGCAUAUGUUCUUCAUUCUACAAGCUACGUGCCAAUGAAACGAGAAUAAAGGAUAUUAUACCAUUCAACUAAAUUGGAAAUAGUGUAUUCUUACCAUAUAAGAACCAAGUGCCAAAGCCAGGCAACUGCUGGUAAUGGUGAAUGCAUUGAUACUUAACGAUUCAACACCUGCAUGAUCAUCAAAGAAACAUAUAAAAUUAAGUCAUGCAAUUUUACUAUGUUUGUGUUUAAAAUAAAAAUGAAAUCUAACACAUUUGCAUUUCCAUAAGUGGAGAGAAGACACAUAUCUAACUAAAGAAAAUUUUCUCAGUGAAGUGAUUCUUCUAGAUGAAUAUUCUGGAAACUAUUUGGUUAUUCUCUUACCAUUGGGUUUAAGAAAACGCUUUCUGAUUUUACUUUUAAUUCAAAACAACCCCUUGUUUUCACUCAAAUGCAUGUCGUCGAAGAUUUGUACAAGAAACCAUGACAGCAACUUCUAAGUUUUGAAGACAAAAAUGAGGGCAAAUUUGCUAUUAAACAAGAAAAACGAAAACAGAAAUUGUUUUCUCAAACCAAACACACUCUAAGUUUGCUCGACUAAGCUCAACUCUAUCCACUUCAAUUGUCAACAAUAUAAGAUUGUAUAUAUUAGGAAGUGCUAGAGAAUCACUUUACAGAAUUUACAAUUACUAACAACAAACCAAUAUCAGAUCCUUUCACUAGAUCUAUGAUCUCAUAAACUUCUGAGCUUCUAGAAUGAAGAACAUAUGCUACAAAGGAAAGCACAUAAUGCAUAUUUUUGUUUUAUUUGCAUUAACUUCGUAUAAAAAUUACUUUAUCAGUUUUCUAAGGGAUGCAGAAUAGAAUGCAUUUGGACAGACAUGAGCUUAUCACAGAGCUAAGACAGUUGAUCUUCGUAAUUGAUUAUUUGAAUGGACAUAACAGAUUAACAGGUAAGAGAAAUUACUUGACAAGAUAAUAAACAUGACACCAAAGAAGAUGGAUUGAGAAUGUGAAGAUGGCAUUCCAGGGUCAGAUUUCAGGGUUGAAGGUCGUUUCUGAUUCAGUAUUUGUUUGAGUAAAACAGAAAGCAUUGCAUUUAAAACAGACCCCCCUGCAAACCACAAGGCUUCUGCGUCAUGCCUCCAAAUAACGAAAGCACCAAAGAGGGCAGUUACUAUCCACUUGCUCUGUAAACAACAGCAUCAUUAGUCAACAAAAAGACAAUUACAUCUUAAUGUGUUCACUUAAUAUAAUACAAUGGCAGCUCCUUUUUUAAUUGAUAUGUUUUCCUUUACAAUUACAAAAUAUUAACUAAUCUUCAAAUUGUUUCUUAUUUCAAGUUGUGAAGAAAAUGGUAAAAAUAAUAAAAAUCAUGUUUUGUCAUUUCCUUUUCAAAAAUCAUGGUCAUAUUUUUUGUAAUUAUUGUUAGUUAAAACAUAUUUAACUGAAGAUGAAAAACACUGUAACUAAAAUGCCACCUAAGAUUUUUAAAUCAGUUUUUUAGUUCCAAAUGGUUUAUCCUAUUACAAAGUAGAGUUGUGUUGUGGAAGACUUUAUUAGUAUAUUUCUUCACUAAACGACAGCACUUGGAAGCAAACAGAAUGAACAUUAUACAAAGGACAUCCUAAAACAAUGAGAGCAAUAUAAUUGCAAAUGUGCAUGAUUCCAACAUAUCAGUAACAGGAACUCAAUAGGAGCACUCAAAGCUUGAACUGAUAUUCAGCAUGCAGUCAAUGACUAUAGUAAAGUAUGCUCAUUUUCUAUAGCUUUGCAUUCAGCUAAGUAUGAACAAUAAGAAAAGGCUACUACCAAAAUCCAAAGCACUAGAGUUGGUUUUAGAUUUGUAUGAUAGAAUAGGCUUGAGAAAUAGGCAAAUAGCAACCUUGUCAGUUUUUAUCCUAGUCAUUCACUCUGGUUGUUCAAUCAGUUUGGAUACUUCAUGGUAGUAAUAAGCCCCAAGAGUGUCCAUAGUAAGCUAUUAAGAAUGAAUAAUAGAUGAUUGUUGCUAACCAAGUUUUUAAAAUCUUUUUGUUUCCUUUCUUUUGCAAUAAGUAUAUCAUCAAUGAAUAGUGAUGAAUCUCUGGAUUCUGCAAUAAGUCCUUUCCUACAGAUUCUCACCAUACAAUACAAUAAAGAGCAGGAAAAACAAUAUUCAUCAGUAGAAGCCAAACUAACAUGGAGUGGCAAUUUGGGAAGGACAUGGAUUACCAACCAGUUGAUUAAGAGUUGAUUCCAUCUCCUGGAACAAAAACUUUGGCUGAAGCUCAGAUGAACUACCAACAAAAGCUUCUUGUUCAAGCACUUGAACAUGUUCAUCACUGUUUCCAUCUCUGUAAGCAGUUCUUUCGAAUCCAUCCAUCGCACUUUUCCCCCGGAGGUUGAAAAGAACAAAUCCACAAGUGAAUGAUCUUGAACCAGAUAAACUAGGAGAAAAUGAAUUCUUUUUCAAGUAUCUUUGUUUAAGCGGAUUUGUUCCCAGAAAUUUGCUAGAUGGAUUAUAGCAAAGGAUGGUUGUUGCUGACAUGUGGAAGGAUAAUUGCAGCAUAUAGUUGUAGGCUGAAAAGUAUAAAAUUUGUUUAUUGGCAUUGGCAGGAACCCAUGAACUUAAGUUAAAUGCAUACCAUCUAUUGCACCUAUGCAAGUCUAUAAUGCAUAACCCAAAUGAAAAGAAUCAAAACAGAAUAAUAUGAAUAAGUAAACAAGAAUCAAAUUGCUUUGAAAUAUACUCUUGUUAGAAUACAUAGAAGAUCUAAGCGAAGAAUUAACUAGUUGCAAUAAUUGCUUGUAAAAGAUGAAAAACCACUUAUACUUUUGAUAAAAUAUUACAUUCUGAUUGUAUCUGGGAUUCUCUGAGGAACAACAAACCAAACCAAUGUACAAGAGGACAGAGGAGCCAAUAAUAAUAUGAAUCGUUAGGGUGUAUAUAUUGGACAUGAAUCCUAAUUCACUCUGAUUGAAACCCAAUUCACUGUGAUGAGUCUAUAUUGUAUGUGAGAAGCCAGAAAAACUAGGAAAGUAAUAUUUAUUUUCUCGCUUUUGAUUUGCUAAUGACUUCACAUGCAGCUAGCUGGUUUGAGUAUCAAAGGUUAACCAGAACCUCCUCUCCUUGAAUAUAUCUCAAAUUUGAUGUUUCAAGUAGGCAGUUAGGUUGGUGAACUGUGAGAUAUUGAAGGAAUUCUAAUCAGAAGGUUCAGAAUUAAAAUCCUAUGAAUUAACAUAACAACUAAUUACUAAUUUGCCUAUACAAAAAUAAUAUAGCUCAAAUUUGACAAUUGUCUUAGCUCCACUAUCUAGUUUUACUCUUUGUACUGAUAAUCAUUACCAAAACUGAAAAUGACUAAUUUGCCAUUUCAUUCUCAGAUAUCACAAAAAUGGAAAUCUCCACAGGUUGCCACCCAAGCGGGGCACAAGAAAGUCAACGAAUUCAAGUCAAUUGUUAGUAAAUCAGCACCAAAUUCGAAAUCCACAAAAAAAAUAAAAAUCAUACGAGCAUGAAAGAACGAGAAACAAAACGCCAGUUAAAAUUAGAGUGACAUCCAGCAAUUUCACAGAAUCAUG